UUUGUACUCUAUAUUUAAACAUAUUAGACUCCAUUUGAUCAUCACAAACCAAAUGGAGCCUAAGCCCCUUUUUAACUCCGCCAAUGCAACUCCUUGCAUUGCCAGUCCUAAGCCCGGGUAAAGGAGGAGGGAGAAUGAGCAUCAAGGAGAGUUGUGUACUUUUCAUUCAUUUUCUGAGAGGCAUUUUUAAAAUGCUUGAUGGUUAAUUUCGUGAGUUUUUCUAUAAAACGUAUUAGUAAUGGCUUCUUCUACUAUCAUUUGAGGACCUUAAAGGCCCAACUAACUUGAGAUUUUUAUAUGCAAGCUGAUGUAUUUUUAGCCCCAAAGAUCAAUGUUGCCACUACAAGGUUCAAUAUUGAAAUGUGAUUAUCAGAAGCAGUGGGCCAUCAUUGAAAGAUUACCCUUGUAGUGAGUCCAAUCAAGGCUGACAAGCUAAAGAAGUCAUUGGAGGAUGAAAUUCAUUUUCUCAAGGGAAGGGUUUCAGAACUUGAAAGUGAUCUUGUGUCAAAGUCCACAGAAGUUACAUCUGCAGUUUCAGGGAAAGAAGAAGUUAUAUCUUCUGCAUUUGCUGAAAUUGAACGUCUGAAGGAAGAAAAUUCUGUAAAAACAUGAGCAUUAUUGCAUUAUAUGGAGGGUGUUUACUGUGUUGGAGUGUAUUUGUUUCUUGCACAUGAGGGCACGCCUUAGUUGUAAUUCUUAUGAUAGGAUGAGCAAAGUGAAGCAUUGUUUAUUUAGAAAUGUGAAUGUGGAAUGCAUUGUAUGAUUUGAUAGCUAUUUGUAAUAAAUGCAUCAUUUUUUUUCCUGA